GACGUACGCUGGCGGCGUGCCUAAUACAUGCAAGUAGAACGCUGAAGAGAGGAGCUUGCUCUUCUUGGAUGAGUUGCGAACGGGUGAGUAACGCGUAGGUAACCUGCCAGGUAGCGGGGGAUAACUAUUGGAAACGAUAGCUAAUACCGCAUAAUAGCAGUUAUUGCAUGAUAACUGUUUGAAAGGUGCAAAUGCAUCACUACCAGAUGGACCUGCGUUGUAUUAGCUAGUUGGUGGGGUAACGGCUCACCAAGGCGACGAUGCAUAGCCGACCUGAGAGGGUGAUCGGCCACACUGGGACUGAGACACGGCCCAGACUCCUACGGGAGGCAGCAGUAGGGAAUCUUCGGCAAUGGACGGAAGUCUGACCGAGCAACGCCGCGUGAGUGAAGAAGGUUUUCGGAUCGUAAAGCUCUGUUGUAAGAGAAGAAACGAGUGUGAGAAUGGAAAG
rnacentral:rRNA from 1 species